GCACUCAUUUUUAGUAAAUCCCCCGCAGUAAACCUGCUGGUGAAAAAAAUCCUAUGUCCUCAGCUACCAUGAUGGGCUACCUCCCUGUGCUGGAGUCUUCUGUCUGGAGGGGUAGACUCGUUGGGAACUGCAUGAAGGCCCAAAGCAUUCUCAUGGGAAGCACUCUGGUCUGUAGCUGGUCCAGACCCAGCAUGGCUGAGUAGGUGGAGGCAUGAAGCUUUUUUUUUUGGAUUGACAGUGGUUUGGAGGCCACCCUCCUGGGUAUCUUGCAUUUCUACACAUCUCAUCAGCAGAGGCACAGACUGUUUUCUUGCAGACCAUAUCUUAGAGGAUGUUUGUGUAGGGAAAAGUCUUGGACGAUAGAGGUAGUGUUUCUUUCCCCGGCAUCGACUAGGCAUGUUGAGUGCUCAUUGUAAAAGAUUUAGGUUUCCAGAUCUUGCUCGGACUUAAAAAAAGAAAGGACAUUCUGACACAGGCUGUGACAUGGAGAAACCCUGAGGACAUUAUGCCAAAGGAAGUGUGCCAGUCACACGGAAAACCAAGUCCUAUGUAAUUCCACCUCGAUGAGGCAUCUGGAGUAGUCACCCCAGAGAGACAGAGAGCAGAACGGUGGUUGCCAGAGGCUUGGGUGGGGCAGUGAACAGAGAGAUGGAUGCUUCAUGGGUAUGGAGUUUGGGAAGGUGGGAAAGUUUUGGCUGUCAGUUGCACAGUAAUGAGAAUGUACUUAACAGCACAGAACUGUACACUUGGAAAGGGUUAAGGUGGUAAAUUGUAUGUUGUGUGUUUUUAACACACACACGCACACAUGCAUGCACAUGCGCCGUGAAAGAUUUGGGUUUCCUAAGCUCAGAGUGCCUCUCUUGGGAUGCAUUUCACUGCGUGUCUUUGCACUGUGAAAACUGGGGCUUGGGAACUUGUGCAAGAAGCUGGUGAUCCUCUGGCUACUGCUCUUGCUCUGAGUAAUGAACGAUCCCGGGUCUCUGACCCAGGAGUCUCAUGUCUUCUGCCAGCAUCCAUCCGAUCAGGCUCACUUGCUAGCUCGCAAGUAGGGGCCAAUCUCAGACCCUUCACAGUUCUUGACAAAAGGAAUCUCUGUAUUUUUUCCUUUGGGGCUCUUGUGAUAGCAGGAAGGAAUUAAGUACUUAUCUUUAUUUUAUUAGGGCCGCAUGUGCGGCAUAUGGAAGUUCCCAGGCCAGGGGUUGAAUCGGAGCAGCUGCUGCUGACCUACAGGAAUACAGGGUCUGAGCUGCGUCUGUGACCUACACCACAGCUCACAGCAACGCCAGAUCCUUAACCCACUGAGCGAGGCCAGGGAUUCCACCGCAUCCUCAUGGAUACUAGUUGGCUUCAUUACCGCUGAGCCACAACUGAAAACUCCGUUAAGUCCCUGUCUUUAAGGAUCCUGAAGGGCUUGUCCAGGCUCUUCUGGUCACAGUUUUAUUCCCAGGGGCUCACACAGUGAUACACAGAAGAUGCCCCAUGAAUAUGGAGCGAAUGACUGGACGGCUGAAUGAAGGAACGUUUGUCGCCCUGACCCCCCACCCCGGUCUCGUCUUCCCUCUGGAAUAGAUGGCCUGGCUAAUGGCCAGAGCUCUUGGGAGGCCAGCUCCUGGGGAGCCCCCUGUGCUCUGUGCCAGGCUGGUUCUCAUCCUCCUCCCCCAUCCCUUGCCCCCCACCCCACUCCCCACAGCCUCUCCUGCACAACUGCUGCUGAGGGCACCUUGAGUGGGACAAAUGUCUCACCUCUCUUGCUCUGCCAGGUGUUUGCUCGUGGCGAUCCCACGUCGCCCUCUGAGUGUUAAAGAAGAGGACGCAGAGGCCUCUCGAAGCAAGGGUCUCCUGUAACCUUUGCCCUGGAUUUGGCCGGUGCCGUCCCGUCUCAGAUGGGUCCAGGUGCCGGCAGUUGUGCCCCCUCGCACUACCAGCAGCCUUCUGGGCAUCAGGAGGGUGGGAUGGGAGUGGAACGUAGACAUCUCAGGCUGUUGUCAAGAGUUGACCCACAGCAGUCCCGUUAGCGCUUGGCGAUCCUGGUGUGAGGUGGGCAUCACCCCGCUGGCUCACCCUUGGGGGCCUCUGAGCAGCUGCCAGCGGGAGGCCCUCGUCUGGCUCUCAAUAGCCCCGGGGAUCACGUGAUUGGUGGCAGGUGGUCUGCAGGGGUGGGCUCGGCUGCCACGCUCUCCUGAGACUGACUCAAAUUCUAAUCUUCGUCCCCCCACGUCUGGUCCCUCAGCCUCCUAGUCUAGUCAAGUCCCCUCCAGGCAGCCCUGGGAUGGAGGUCUCUGGCAAUUUCUCUGUUCUUUUCAUACCGUUAUCCUGGCGUGUAUUUAAUGCCUUAUUCCCCUCGGGGCAUUCCAUUUAUUUUCAAGAGCUUCCUUUUGAAGUAAGAAAAAAAGGAACCUUAUCAAUUUUUUCCUUUCGUUUCCACUGAAACAAUUUUAAUUCUCUUUCACACCACGUGGGUCCUUCUGACUUAUGGGGCAGAGUCUUGGAUGGGAAGGCUGGGCAGAGAAGGCAACAAAAACAUCAAGGCUUAUAUUUCAAGCGAGUGUGUUGUGGCCUUUAGAAAGUGUGGGGUACGUUUGCGGCAGAAUAAGGGCUUCCAGUUUCAUGCUUCUAUCAUCCCUUCAGUUUACAGGCCCAGUCAAAUCACUGAAUAUUUAUUAAGCACCUACUGUGUGCCAAGUGCUUUGUUGACUCAUGGACCCUGUGUGCUUCACCGAUAAGGUUCUCUUCUCAGUGGUAAAGGAGUAGCUCUUGCCUUUAGUUUCAUAUAGCCUGGAAUAAAAAAUCUUUGGCGGGGGGCGGGGAAUAGCUGCCUGCAGCAGCAGUAGUUCGUGCAUUCCGUCAUCCACUCGUUUGUUCAUCUUGGAACAAACAUUUAUUGAGCACCUGCUAUGAGCCAAGCCUCCCAACUGCAUCUUGGGGAUACGGCUUUGGCCAUGGCAGCUAAGAUCUGUGUUCGUGUUUUAAAUAUUGGUGUGAGAGAAGCAGUGAAUAAGUGAUCAAGUACAUAUGGAAUGGCAGAUAAUGAUAAAUGAAGGGCAGAUGGGUCAAGUGAUGAGGUUUCAAGGGCAAUGAGGGCAGCCCCGCAAACGACGUCUGGGGCUCAGUGCAUUCAACUCACUCAGUCAUCACUUGAAGGCUCGGGCAGGAUGGCAGAUGCUUGCUCCAUGCAGCCUGUCCCUUGUGUUCUUUUGUUGUAGUCAGGGAUUCAAAGUGCUGAGCCAUCGUCACCCUCAUUCCCCUAGGCUCCCGUGUCGCCUGCAUUCUCCUCAAUCCAGCCCAUCGCCAGGGUCCACCAGUCCUGUAGUGCCUGGACCACUCCUUCCUCUUCUCCUCCAGCUUCCCUUGCCAUUGCUCCAACACACCAGGCGUCUGGAAGAUUCUUCCCCAAGCUACGGGCAUGGCUCGAUCACUUACUUGCUUUUCGGUCUUUGCUCCGAUGUCACCUUCGUGGUGAGGGCGCUCCUGGUCACCCUGUUUGAAAUGCCAUCACCCCAUCCCUCUUCCUAGCCCUCUCCAUCCUCCAGCCCGUUUUCUUUUUCUCCUUAGUUUUUUGUGCACAUGCGACAAGCCAUGUGUUUUGAUUAGCGGUUACUACCCUUGGGUUGCAAGGGAUGGGGGCGGAAGCAGUUGCUGGGGUGUGAGGAGAGCACUGCGGAGACGGAGAGCCGUCUGGAGAGAACCAGUGGCCUUGGCUCGAGGGACCAGGUGGCCUGAGGAAAUCAUCCUCUCGUCGCUCCCUCUGGUCUUGCUGAGGCUCCCGACCGGCCAGGCCCCAUCAGAAGAUGGAGGUGCGUUGUUGUCGGCCGCUAGAGGCACAGAGAAGGCUGGAGAAAGGGAUCUGGACCGAGGGUGACCUUCAAACCCUUUUUUGGAGCCCGCCGCUUUUACUAAAGAGUUUGGGGGCAAGGGUGACCAGCGGACUGGACCUCGAUCAGGCCAGCAACCUUUCCACCAGCCCAUAUGUGGUGGAGAGAAGGCGGAGAAUUACAAGGCCCGAAUUUAAACUUCAGCUCUCCCACCGACCCGGUGUGUGACUUUGGACAAACCACCAUUGCCUCUGAGCCCACACACCCAUCCGUUAAAUGCAGCUCAAAAUCCCUGCUUAGCACCUCUCUCUGGAU
rnacentral:lncRNA from 1 species